rnacentral:rRNA from 1 species
UACGGAGGGGGCUAGCGUUGUUCGGAAUUACUGGGCGUAAAGCGCGCGUAGGCGGCUUUGUAAGUUAGAGGUGAAAGCCCGGAGCUCAACUCCGGAAUUGCCUUUAAGACUGUAUCGCUAGAAUCAUGGAGAGGUGAGUGGAAUUCCGAGUGUAGAGGUGAAAUUCGUAGAUAUUCGGAAGAACACCAGUGGCGAAGGCGACUCACUGGACAUGUAUUGACGCUGAGGUGCGAAAGCGUGGGGAGCAAACAGG